UACGUAGGGGGGCAAGCGUUGUCCGGAUUUAUUGGGCGUAAAGAGCGUGUAGGCGGCCGUACAGGUCAGCUGUGAAAACUCGAGGCUCAACCUCGAGACGUCGGUUGAAACCGUACGGCUAGAGUCCGGAAGAGGAGAGUGGAAUUCCCGGUGUAGCGGUGAAAUGCGCAGAUAUCGGGAAGAACACCCGUGGCGAAGGCGGCUCUCUGGGACGGUACUGACGCUGAGACACGAAAAGCGUGGGUAGCAAACAGG
rnacentral:rRNA from 1 species